AUUGAACGCUGGCGGCAGGCCUAACACAUGCAAGUCGAGCGAGCGUCGGACGGGUGAGUAAUGUCUGGGAAACUGCCUGAUGGAGUGGGAUAACUACUGGAAACGGUAGCUCAUACCGCAUACCAUAGGAUGAGCCCAAAUGGGCUUAGGUAGUUGGUGAGGUAAAGGCUCACCAAGCCGACGAUCUCUAGCUGGUCUGAGAGGAUGACCAGCCACACUGGGACUGAGACACGGCCCAGACUCCUACGGGAGGCAGCAGUGGGGAAUAUUGCGCAAUGGGGGCAACCCUGACGCAGCCAUGCCGCGUGAAUGAAGAAGGCCUUCGGGUUGUAAAGUUCUUUCGGUAGCGAGGCGUUAACUACAGAAGAAGCACCGGCUAACUCCGUGCCAGCAGCCGCGGUAAUAC
rnacentral:rRNA from 1 species